CUCGUGGGGGGUGCCUCCCCCUCCUGUGAUGGGGUUCCUCAGAGCCAGGGGGGGAAGAGGGACUGGCUCUCAGUAAUUCCACGUAAGGUACCUGCCGUCGGAAGAUUUGAAAUUUCUACCUGGACAACUAACACCCACAGUCCUCCAGCUGCGUUCGGACCCGUCGGAUCGUAAAUCCCACAUAAGGUACCUGCCGUCAGAAGAUUUGAACUCUCUACUUGGACACCUAAUACCCACAGUCCUCCAGAUGGGGGUCCUAUGCCAGUGGGGGAAGAGGGUCUGGCUCUCAGUCCCCGCCUCGUGGGGGGUGCCUCCCCACUCUGUGAUGUGGGUCCUAAGAGCCAGUGGGGGAACAGGGGCUGGCUCUCAGUCCCUGCCUCAUGGGGGGUGCGUCCCCCCCCCCUGCGAUGGGGGUACUAACAGCCAGGGGCGGAAGAGGGGGUGGGUCCUAAGUCCCUGCCUCGCGGGGGGUGCCUCCCCCUCCUGCGAUGGGGGUCCUAAGAGCCAGGGGGGGAAGAGGGAUUGCCUCUCAGUCCCUGCCUCGCGGGGGGUGCCUCCGCCCCAAAACCCCACAGCUCCUAAGAAUUCUCUCACCUGCCUUCUGCCCUUAAGCUCCGGUAGAUUGCAAAUAACCUGCUUUCUUUCUGUUCCCGAGCUGCGUUCGGACCCGUCGGAUCGUAAAUCCCAUGUAAGGUACCUGCCGUCGGAAGAUUUGAUCUUUCUACUUGGACACCUAAUACCCACAGUCCUCCAGGUGGGUCCUAAGGAUCUUAGGAUCAACGAUGGGGGCCCUAAGCCAGGGGGGGAAGAGGGUCUGGCUCUCAGUCCCCGCCUCAAGGGGGGUGCCUCCCCCCUCUGCGAUGGGUGUCCUAAGAGCCAGUGGGGGAACAGGGGCAGGCUCUCAGUCCCUACCUCGCGGGGGGUGCCUCCCCCACCCUGCGAUGGGGGUAUUAACAGCCAGGGGCGGAAGAGGGGAUAGCUCUCAGUCCCCACCCUCGUGGGGGGUGCCACACCCUCCUGCGAUGGGGUUCCUAAGAGCCAGAGGGGGAAGAGGGACUGGCUCUCAGUCCCCGCCUCGUGGGGGGUCCCUCCCCCCUCUGCGAUGGGGGUCCUAAGAGCCAGUGGGGGAACAGAGGCUGGCUCUCAGUCCCUGCCUCGCGGGGGGGUGCCUCCCCCACCCUGCGAUGGGGGUACUAACAGCCAGGGGCGGAAGAGGGGAUAGCUCUCAGUCCCCACUCUCGUAGGGGGUGCCUCCCCACCUGCGAUGGGGGUACUAACAGCCAGGGGCGGAAGAGGGGAUAGCUCUCAGUCCCCACUGUCGUGGGGGGUGCCUCCCCCUCCUGUGAUGGGGUUCCUCAGAGCCGGGGGGGAAGAGGGACUGGCUCUCAGUAAUCCCACGUAAGGUACCUGCCGUCGGAAGAUUUGAACUUUCUACUUGGACACCUACCACCCGCAGUCCUCCAGGUGGGUCCUAAGGAUCUUAGGAUCAACGAUGUGGGUCCUAAGCUGGGGGGGGAAGAGGGUCUGGCUCUCAGUCCCCGCCUCGCGGGGGGUGCGUCCCCCCUCUGCGAUGGGGGUCCUAAGAGCCAGUGGGGGAACCAGGGGUUGGCUCUCAGUCCCUGCCUCGCGGAGGGUGCCUCCCCCCCCCUACGAUGGGGGUACCAACAGCCAGGUGCGGAAGAGAGGAUAGCUCUCAGUCCCCACCCUCGCGGGGUUGCCUCCCCCUCCUGCGAUGGGGGUCCUCAGAGCCAGGGGGGGAAGAGGGACUGGCUCUCAGUCCCUGCCUCGCGGGGGGUGCCUCCGCCCCCAGCGAUGGGGAUCCUAAGAGCAAAGGGGGGAAGAGGGGCUCGCUCUCAGUCCCCGCAUCACGAGGGGUGCCUCCCCCCCUGCGAUGGGGGUGCAAAGAGCCAGGGGAGGAAAGGGGGAGGUUCGCAGUCCCCGCCUCGCGGGGAUUGCCUCCCCCCCUGCGAUGGUGGUCCCAAGAGCCAGGGGGGGGAAGAGGGGUUGGCUCUGAGUCCCCGCCUCAUGGGGGAUGCCUCCCUCCACCCGCAAUGGGAGUCCCAAGAGUCAGGGGGGAAGAGGGGAUGGAUCUCAGCCAUCACAAAAUGGGGGGCCUUUAUGUUCAGGUUUUGCCCAAGAAUCAGCUUAUUUGCUUCUUGUACUAGCAGGGCAGUUGCUGCCAAGGCCCUCAAAUAGGGGGGCCAUUCUUUAGCAACCCUGUCUAGUUGUUUAGAGACGUAGGCUACCGGCCUCAGCCAGGGCCCCACAGUUUGGGUUAAAAGUCCAGCUGCCAUCUUUUCUCUCUCUGACGCAUACAAUGGAAAAGGCUUUGUCAGAUCGGGUAGCCCCAGGGCUGGGGCUGCCAGAAGAUUUUCUUAUAACUAAUGAAAGACUUGCUGUUGUCGGGAUCCCCAUUUCAAAGGUUCCGGGUCCCCGCCCCCUUUGUGACCUCAUACAAAGGCUUGGCUAAUACUGCAACGUUUGGGAUCCACAGCCUACAAAACCCCACAGCUCCUAAGAAUUCUCUCACCUGCCUUCUGCCCUUAAGCUCCGGUAGAUUGCAAAUAACCUGCUUUCUUUCUGUUCCUGAGCUGCGUUCGGACCCCUGUCGUAUUGUAAAUCCCACGCAAGGUACCUGCCGUCGGAAGAUUUGAGCUUUCUUCUUGAACACCUCAUACCCACAGUCCUCCAGGGGCCACUGGGAUCAAGAGAGGGCAACAUUGCAACUCUCCAUGCUCCUGCAAUAUCCAUAGCUAUUCUGUAGACAGAAGGACAACAGGUACAAAGUCCUAAGGAUUAUAAAGGUAUGCUGCUUGCCAUCAUCUUAGUGACCAAGGCAGCGAAGCUGUUUCUGUACCUUGGAACAGUCUUCCCUGACAAGCCAGAGAACAGCGAUAAAGCCACCAGCCUUGGGAUCAGGACUGAAAAGGCAAGAGUGAUGGAGAUUUCUCCUGCGCUAAGCCAAGAGAAGGUUUCAGCACCUCAGACAGCUCCCACCGAAGUAGCGGCGCUCCCAGCUGCUUGCAGAUGUGGAAAAGGAAAGCCUCGGUUUGUCUUGAGGUUGUCAGCAGUUGCAAGACACGUAAUAAAAUGCAAUGUGUUCCUAACACACUUAUCUACAAACAGUCUUCAGAGAGGUGAUCGGAUGGAAGAUAUUAACAUGAUUCUGGAGUCUGCUAGGAGCUGCUCUGACUGGUGGCUACUGAGAUACCAGUGACGGGAAGGUGCUACAUCGUUAACAACAGUGCCUUUCAAAAAUGAUGAACUAUAAUCUACUAAGAAAACACAAGGACAAACCCUACUGUGAAGCAGUGGAGACUGGAGUCCUGCAUUUGCUGAACUUUCUUUUUAUGUGUUGGAUUCUGAUUUUAUAUUCAUUUCCAUUCAUGUGGACUCUGAAGAGUUAAACUCACUAAGGACACUUGAAGAAGUCACGUCCAGGGAUCACUGUCAUCACAGAUGGAGAAAAGGCCAAUGUCUUUCCAUGCUGCCUCACCAGAAAAGGACUGAGUUGGUACAGACCUUCAUUCCAGCUUAAUGUCCAUGACCUCAUCACACUCCAGGCCCAGGCUUGAGCUACAUGUUCUAGAAAGCCCUUAACUUCUCUAGGUCUCAAGUCUAAUCUCUGCAUCUGCGCCAGGUUCCCUGAGACUACUCUAAAGCUUGAUGAUUCACUAGGAUUCACAGGACUCAGAAAAGCUUACUUUUCUGAAUUAGAUGUACUGUUCUGAUAUAUUACAGCAAAAGGAUAUGAGUUCAAAUCAGAAUAAAAUAAAAGGUACAUGGGGCAGAGUCCAGGAGAAACCGAGAUAUUUUACAGCUGAGAAGGAAAUUAUGCAGCCUGUAGGAUAAAUUCCUCUCCUGGCAGAUUGAGUGGAUGUAGCACCAGAAGCUCCCAGAAUAAUCAGAACUGCAAAUGGAAGCACAGGAUCACCCUAGUGAAUUUCCUAAACAAAUAGAAACAUGAGGAGCAGAGCAAGUUCCAUGCCAAUCAAGACAGGAAGCUGAGAAGAGAACAUAGA
rnacentral:lncRNA from 1 species